rnacentral:rRNA from 1 species
GACGAACGCUGGCAGCGUGCUUAACACAUGCAAGUCGAACGGUAAGGCCCUUCGGGGUACACGAGUGGCGAACGGGUGAGUAACACGUGGGUGAUCUGCCCUGCACUUCGGGAUAAGCCUGGGAAACUGGGUCUAAUACCGGAUAGGACCCUGGGAUGCAUGUCCUGGGGUGGAAAGCUUUUGUGGUGUGGGAUGGGCCCGCGGCCUAUCAGCUUGUUGGUGGGGUGGUGGCCUACCAAGGCGACGACGGGUAGCCGGCCUGAGAGGGUGACCGGCCACACUGGGACUGGGAUACGGCCCAGACUCCUACGGGAGGCAGCAGUGGGGAAUAUUGCACAAUGGGCGCAAGCCUGAUGCAGCGACGCCGCGUGAGGGAUGACGGCCUUCGGGUUGUAAACCUCUUUCAGCACCGACGAAGCGCAAGUGACGGUAGGUGCAGAAGAAGGACCGGCCAACUACGUGCCAGCAGCCGCCGUAA